rnacentral:sRNA from 1 species
GGGGAAGGAUGAGAAGCUUCGACUAAGGUUCGACUCGAGCGCCAGCGAGAGAGCGUUGCCGCAGGCAACGACCCGAAGGGCGAAGCGCGCAGCGCUGAGUAAUCCUUCCCCCACCACCA